GCAGGCCUAACACAUGCAAGUCGAACGGUAACAGGAAGCAGCUUGCUGCUUUGCUGACGAGUGGCGGACGGGUGAGUAAUGUCUGGGAAACUGCCUGAUGGAGGGGGAUAACUACUGGAAACGGUGGCUAAUACCGCAUAACGUCGCAAGACCAAAGAGGGGGACCUUCGGGCCUCUUGCCAUCAGAUGUGCCCAGAUGGGAUUAGCUUGUUGGUGAGGUAACGGCUCACCAAGGCGACGAUCCCUAGCUGGUCUGAGAGGAUGACCAGCCACACUGGAACUGAGACACGGUCCAGACUCCUACGGGAGGCAGCAGUGGGGAAUAUUGCACAAUGGGCGCAAGCCUGAUGCAGCCAUGCCGCGUGUAUGAAGAAGGCCUUCGGGUUGUAAAGUACUUUCAGCGGGGAGGAAGGUGUUGUGGUUAAUAACCGCAGCAAUUGACGUUACCCGCAGAAGAAGCACCGGCUAACUCCGUGCCAGCAGCCGCGGUAAUACGGAGGGUGCAAGCGUUAAUCGGAAUUACUGGGCGUAAAGCGCACGCAGGCGGUCUGUCAAGUCGGAUGUGAAAUCCCCGGGCUCAACCUGGGAACUGCAUUCGAAACUGGCAGGCUUGAGUCUUGUAGAGGGGGGUAGAAUUCCAGGUGUAGCGGUGAAAUGCGUAGAGAUCUGGAGGAAUACCGGUGGCGAAGGCGGCCCCCUGGACAAAGACUGACGCUCAGGUGCGAAAGCGUGGGGAGCAAACAGGAUUAGAUACCCUGGUAGUCCACGCCGUAAACGAUGUCUACUUGGAGGUUGUGCCCUUGAGGCGUGGCUUCCGGAGCUAACGCGUUAAGUAGACCGCCUGGGGAGUACGGCCGCAAGGUUAAAACUCAAAUGAAUUGACGGGGGCCCGCACAAGCGGUGGAGCAUGUGGUUUAAUUCGAUGCAACGCGAAGAACCUUACCUGGUCUUGACAUCCACAGAAGAAUCCAGAGAUGGAUUUGUGCCUUCGGGAACUGUGAGACAGGUGCUGCAUGGCUGUCGUCAGCUCGUGUUGUGAAAUGUUGGGUUAAGUCCCGCAACGAGCGCAACCCUUAUCCUUUGUUGCCAGCGGUCCGGCCGGGAACUCAAAGGAGACUGCCAGUGAUAAACUGGAGGAAGGUGGGGAUGACGUCAAGUCAUCAUGGCCCUUACGACCAGGGCUACACACGUGCUACAAUGGCGCAUACAAAGAGAAGCGACCUCGCGAGAGCAAGCGGACCUCAUAAAGUGCGUCGUAGUCCGGAUUGGAGUCUGCAACUCGACUCCAUGAAGUCGGAAUCGCUAGUAAUCGUGGAUCAGAAUGCCACGGUGAAUACGUUCCCGGGCCUUGUACACACCGCCCGUCACACCAUGGGAGUGGGUUGCAAAAGAAGUAGGUAGCUUAACCUUCGGGAGGGCGCUUACCACUUUGUGAUUCAUGACUGGGGUGAAGUCGUAACAAGGUAACCGUAGGGGAACCUGCGGUUG
rnacentral:rRNA from 1 species